rnacentral:piRNA from 1 species
UUAAUUUAAGUUUGAAUAGAA